GGCUGGUUAGCUCAGCUGGUUAGGGCGUGGUGCUAGUAGUGCCAAGGUCAUGGGUUCAAUCCCCAUACAGGCCA
rnacentral:tRNA from 1 species